UUAUAGAACAACCUUGGCAUGGCAAAAGCAAAUUUCUAUAAUCAGGGCAGGCAGGAAUUUGGACUGAAGACACUAUACUCCAAGAUGAUGACAUAAUGCACACUGUGAAAAUGGUUACACAUUAUUUUCUAGGAACUUUUCUACAAAUGAUUUGGAAUCAGAGAAACAAAGGCCAAUUCAGAACUGUCUUGAGAGUGAAGCCUAUUCCACAAUGUACAAAAGAAGCUAUCCAGGGGCAAGACAACUACAUGAAACAACUGAGA